AAAAUCCUAUACUACUAGCCAUGGUCAACCCCACCGUGUUCUUCAACAUUGCCGUCGACAGCGAGCCCUUGCCACGUCUCCUUCGAGCUGUUUGCAGACAAGGUUCCAAAGACAGCAGAAAAUUUUCGUGCUCUGAGCACUGGAGAGAAAGGAUUUGGUUAUAAGGGUUCCUGCUUUCACAGAAUUAUUCCAGGGUUUAUGUAUCAGGGUGGUGACUUCACAUGCCAUAAUGGCACUGGUGGCAAGUCCAUCUAUGGGGAGAAAUUUGAAGAUGAGAACUUCAUCCUAAAGCAUACAGGUCCUGGCAUCUUGUCCAUGGCAAAUGCUGGACCCAACACAAAUGGUUCCCAGUUUUUCGUCUGCACUGCCAAGACUGAGUGGUUAGAUGGCAAGCAUGUGGCCCUUGGCAAAGUGUAAGAAGGCAUGAAUAUUGUGGAGACCAUGGAGCGCUUUGGGUCCAGGAAGGGCAAGACCAGCAAGAAGAUCACCAUUGCUGACUGUGGACAGCACGAAUAAGUUUGACUUGUGUUUUAUCUUAACCACCAGACCAUUCCUUCUGUAGCUCAGGAGAGCACCCCUCCACCCCAUUUGCUCACAGUAUCCUAGAAUCUUU